GGGGCUGAUUCUGGAUUCGACGGGAUUUGCGAAACCCAAGGUGCAUGCCGAGGGGCGGUUGGCCUCGUAAAAAGCCGCAAAAAAUAAUCGCAAACGACGAAAACUACGCUUUAGCAGCUUAAUAACCUGCUUAGAGCCCUCUCUCCCUAGCCUCCGCUCUUAGGACGGGGAUCAAGAGAGGUCAAACCCAAAAGAGAUCGCGUGGAAGCCCUGCCUGGGGUUGAAGCGUUAAAACUUAAUCAGGCUAGUUUGUUAGUGGCGUGUCCGUCCGCAGCUGGCAAGCGAAUGUAAAGACUGACUAAGCAUGUAGUACCGAGGAUGUAGGAAUUUCGGACGCGGGUUCAACUCCCGCCAGCUCCACCA
rnacentral:tmRNA from 1 species